GCGUGUUCUCGGGGCGGGGUGCAAUUCCCCACCGGCGGUUACAGCCCGCGAGCGCCUGCAAUCCGCAGGGUCAGCAGAUCCGGUGAAACUCCGGGGCCGACGGUAUAGUCCGGAUGAAAGAGAAUGGAC
rnacentral:ncRNA from 17 species